rnacentral:rRNA from 1 species
ACACGGAGGGUGCGAGCGUUGUUCGGAAUUACUGGGCGUAAGGGCGCGUAGGCGGCCUGGCAAGUCUGAUGUGAAAGCCCGGGGCUCAACCCCGGAAGUGCAUCGGAAACUGCCAGGCUUGAGUCCGGAAGAGGAGGGCAGAAUUCCCGGUGUAGGGGUGAAAUCCGUAGAUAUCUGGAGGAAAACCAGUGGCGAAGGCGGCCCUCUGGGACGAGACUGACGCUGAGGCGCGAAAGCGUGGGGAGCAAACAGGAUUAGAAACCCUAGUAGUCC